rnacentral:ncRNA from 1 species
UUACACCGUGUCUGUGGGGUCGUUUGAGUCUUGCAAAAGGCGAGAACUUGCAGCCUUUAAGGACAGCCUAGCGGUAUCUUUGACUUUUUGGGGUCAAAUACGCACUCACGACCAUUUGGG